CAGAGCAAUUUUUCUUGUAUUUUUUCUGUGUGUGUUUGGAUGGUAUGAUCAGCUAUGUUGAAGAAAGUCGGUAACAUGUCUACAGGAGUGACUUGCUGAACGGGUUUCUGAGGACAAUCCAGUGCACUUGCAGGAAAGUCCAUUGGAUCCCCAAUGUGUGCUGGAUGUUUGUAUAUAAGGACGUAACGUCCAUGAAGUAAGAAAUCUCGCGAGAGACAUACCUGUAUUAGUAUGUGGUGAUGGGUUCACGGAGAUUCUCAAGCGGCUCGCACGCCAACGAGCUUGUCUUCACCCCCUCAGAAUCAGCGGUCAUGCGGCCAGGAACAUACCGUCCUACAGACAGCAAGCUCCGGAUGGAUAGUUCUGAAGACACCUUAUGAUAGAUCUCUUGACAGUUUCUAUGCACUGGGUGAAUAUGUUCUAAUUCUCACUACAUUUUUGUAUUGAAAGAAAAUUGAGAUAAAAGGAAC